GUUGAACGCUGGCGGCAGGCUUAACACAUGCAAGUCGAGCGAGCGGCGGACGGGUGAGUAGUUUCUUGGCAACUGCCUGAUGUAGGGGGAUAACUACUGGAAACGGUAGCUAAUACCGCCUACCAGCAGGUGUGCCCAGAUGGGAUUAGCUAGUAGGUGGGGUAAUGGCUCACCUAGGCGACGAUCCCUAGCUGGUCUGAGAGGAUGACCAGCCACACUGGAACUGAGACACGGUCCAGACUCCUACGGGAGGCAGCAGUGGGGAAUAUUGCACAAUGGGCGAAAGCCUGAUGCAGCCAUGCCGCGUGUGUGAAGAAGGCCUUCGGGUUGUAAAGCACUGUCAGCGAGGAGGCGUUACUCGCAGAAGAAGCACCGGCUAACUCCGUGCCAGCAGCCGCGGUAAUAC
rnacentral:rRNA from 1 species